rnacentral:rRNA from 1 species
UACGGAGGAGGCAAGCGUUAUCUGGAAUUAUUGGGCGUAAAGCGUCCGUAGGUGGCUAGUCAAGUCUGCGGUCAAAGACUGGGGCUUAACCCUGGAAAGGCCGUGGAAACUGACGAGCUAGAGUGCAGUAGGGGUAGAGGGAAUUCCCGGUGUAGCGGUGAAAUGCGUAGAGCUCGGGAAGAACAUCGGUGGCGAAAGCGCUCUACUGGACUGCAACUGACACUCAGGGACGAAAGCUAGGGGAGCGAAUGGG